rnacentral:rRNA from 1 species
GACGAACGCUGGCGGCGUGCUUAACACAUGCAAGUCGAACGGAAAGGCCCUGCUUUUGUGGGGUGCUCGAGUGGCGAACGGGUGAGUAACACGUGAGUAACCUGCCCUUGACUUUGGGAUAACUUCAGGAAACUGGGGCUAAUACCGGAUAGGAGCUCCUGCUGCAUGGUGGGGGUGGGAAAGUUUCGGCGGUUGGGGAUGGACUCGCGGCUUAUCAGCUUGUUGGUGGGGUAGUGGCUUACCAAGGCUUUGACGGGUAGCCGGCCUGGGAGGGGGACCGGCCACAUUGGGACUGAGAUCCGGCCCAGACUCCUGCGGGAGGCAGCAGUGGGGAAUAUUGCACAAUGGGCGGAGGCCUGAUGCAGCAACGCCGCGUGCGGGAUGACGGCCUUCGGGUUGUAAACCGCUUUCGCCUGUGACGAAGCGUGAGUGACGGUAAUGGGUAAAGAAGCACCGGCUAACUACGUG